rnacentral:lncRNA from 1 species
GAUGAAAUUUGAAAAAAAUAGGCAGGACAGGAGUUUUGAGUAAAAAAAAAGGCAGGAUGAGACACUUGCAAAAAAAAAGUCAGGACGACAAUUUAGGUAAAUAAAAGUCAGGAUAAACUAAAAAAAGUAGGCAGGACCGAACAGAGUGAAAAAUGAAAAGGCAGGACAGAUAUUACAGCUAAAAAAAAAUGCAGGACAACAUUUUUCAUCCUAGCCCCCCCCCCCCCCCAUAAAAAUCAAAUGGUAGCUCCCUUAUGUAAAGCGAGAAAGCUUAGUUUGCCAAUAGAUAUUUUGUUACAAUUAUUUGAUGCAAUGGUGGCACCUAUUUUGUUAUAUGGUGCAAGAAGUAUGGGGUUAUGAAAAUAAUGACAUUAUUGAGUCUUUGCAUUUAGAAUUUUGCAAGUAUAUAUUAAAGGUUAAAAAAUGUACGCCAAACUAUAUUGUAUAUGGCGAACUUGGUAGAACACCCAUGUCUAUAUGCAUUAAAGCUAGAAUGGUUUGUUUUUGGCAGCGAAUUUUAAAUGGCAAGAAAGAG